CCCGGAUGUAAAGAAGCCUCUGUGAGAAAACCCGAUCCGGUCAAAGAACAGAUUGAGAAAAGCUUGACAGACGCACAGACACACAGACGGACUGCAAGCACAGCUGGCACCGCGCUGGCUGCAUCCAGCCACACAGAUGUCUGAGGGACUUUGAUCUGGGACGAAGGCAGCUGCCGCCUGUGUUUUGAAUCUUCGAUCUCUCCACGGCCCAGCGGUGCUGUGCUGACCUCUGAACCCUUUCCUCCCCACACUGCCCCCCCCCCAUCCCCC